UGGGGAAUUUUGGACAAUGGGCGAAAGCCUGAUCCAGCCAUGCCGCGUGCAGGAUGAAGGCCUUCGGGUUGUAAACUGCUUUUGUACGGAACNAAAAGACUCUGGUUAAUACCUGGGGUCAUGACGGUACCGUAAGAAUAAGCACCGGCUAACUACGUGCCAGCAGCCGCGGUAAUACGUAGGGUGCAAGCGUUAAUCGGAAUUACUGGGCGUAAAGCGUGCGCAGGCGGUUAUAUAAAGACAGAUGUGAAAUCCCCGGGCUCAACCUGGGAACUGCAUUUGUGACUGUAUAGCUAGAGUACGGCAGAGGGGGGAUGGAAUUUCCGCGUGUAGCAGUGAAAUGCGUAGAUAUGCGGGAGGAACACCGGAUGGCGAAGGCAAUCCCCUGGGCCUGUACUGACGCUCAUGCACGAAAGCGUGGGGAGCAAACAGGAUUAGAUACCCUGGUAGUCCACGCCCUAAACGAUGUCAACU
rnacentral:rRNA from 1 species